UAUUGGUCAAUGGGCGCGAGCCUGAACCAGCCAAGUCGCGUGAGGGAUGAAGGUUCUAUGGAUCGUAAACCUCUUUUAUAAGGGAAUAAAGUGCGGGACGUGUCCCGUUUUGUAUGUACCUUAUGAAUAAGGAUCGGCUAACUCCGUGCCAGCAGCCGCGGUAAUACGGAGGAUCCGAGCGUUAUCCGGAUUUAUUGGGUUUAAAGGGUGCGUAGGCGGCCUUUUAAGUCAGCGGUGAAAGUCUGUGGCUCAACCAUAGAAUUGCCGUUGAAACUGGGGGGCUUGAGUAUGUUUGAGGCAGGCGGAAUGCGUGGUGUAGCGGUGAAAUGCAUAGAUAUCACGCAGAACCCCGAUUGCGAAGGCAGCCUGCCAAGCCAUUACUGACGCUGAUGCACGAAAGCGUGGGGAUCAAACAGGAUUAGAUACCCUGGUAGUCCACGCAGUAAACGAUGAUCACUAGCUGUUUGCGAUACACUGUAAGCGGCACAGCGAAAGCGUUAAGUGAUCCACCUGGGGAGUACGCCGGCAACGGUGAAACUCAAAGGAAUUGACGGGGGCCCGCACAAGCGGAGGAACAUGUGGUUUAAUUCGAUGAUACGCGAGGAACCUUACCCGGGUUUGAACGCAUUCGGACCGAGGUGGAAACACCUUUUCUAGCAAUAGCCGUUUGCGAGGUGCUGCAUGGUUGUCGUCAGCUCGUGCCGUGAGGUGUCGGCUUAAGUGCCAUAACGAGCGCAACCCUUGCCACUAGUUACUAACAGGUAAAGCUGAGGACUCUGGUGGGACUGCCAGCGUAAGCUGCGAGGAAGGCGGGGAUGACGUCAAAUCAGCACGGCCCUUACAUCCGGGGCGACACACGUGUUACAAUGGCGUGGACAAAGGGAAGCCACCUGGCGACAGGGAGCGAAUCCCCAAACCACGUCUCAGUUCGGAUCGGAGUCUGCAACCCGACUCCGUGAAGCUGGAUUCGCUAGUAAUCGCGCAUCAGCCAUGGCGCGGUGAAUACGUUCCCGGGCCUUGUACACACCGCCCGUCAAGCCAUGGGAGCCGGGGGUACCUGAAGUCCGUAACCGCGAGGAUCGGCCUAGGGUAAAACUGGUGACUGGGGCUAAGUCGUAACAAGGUAGCCGUACCGGAAGGUGCGGCUG
rnacentral:rRNA from 1 species